rnacentral:lncRNA from 1 species
GUUUAGAUUUAAGACUAUAAGUGCAAUUAUUUAUUCAUUUGUCUUUUAUGUAGUUGUAGUGCAAUGACAUGCACUUUACAUUCAGAAGGUAAAUUAUUACAGCAGAAACUGAAAUGGUGUGUAAUUAUAAAUGCCUGUCUGCCAGUAGAGAUUGUUGGGAUUGUGUGCCAACUCAUAGGCAAUCAGUAAUGGUAUGUGAAAGGUAUUCGGUUUUAUUUGAUGUUGCAAUGGCAAACCAAAAAUGGUUUUUUAAUCAUUUUUUCUUCUCUCUAAGCUUGAAUGGGCUUUGGGGACAGGCGACCAAGAUGAGACAAUUGCUGAAGUUGGAAACGUGGUUCUGAAAAGAAAAGAUUUCUGGACUCUCGGUCUCAAUGAGCAGUUGGAGGCAACAAUUGCAAACAGCUGUCUUGAAGUAAUUACUUUGGUCUCUAUGGAACGAGUAAGUAUUUGUAUAAAGCUGCAAAUAACCUGAGACAUAGUUGUCUAGCUUGUUUAUAGUCUUACAUAAGUACGUUAUGGACAGCUAAUGCAUAUGUUGUGGUGACCUGGUUGCCUCCAAAUAAUCUGGACCCAUCCUUGUCAUUUCCAGUGAGGCCACAAAGUUACAUACCAUUUACAGCAGUGACCAAUUUUAUUUUAACCAUCUGAAUGUUUUUUUUUGUUUUUAUAUAUAUGUAUUGUUUACAGGAUAACAUUGCACUAAAAGACUGCAUUAUCUUCCCUUGCUUGGAAGCCAGGACACUGGAUGUUGUGUGUAUGUCAUUUGUGAUCUAGCUUUAAUGGUUACUUGCAUGAUGUUCUGUCUUUGCAUGGUGUGACAGUUUUUACAAGAAAGACCCAAAUACUGUUGACUGCUAUGGUUUCAGAGCAUCAAACUGUAUGUAAUUUUGCAUAUUAGCAAAUAUGUUUAUUAUGUGUAUUUUUGUUGCAGCAAGAUGACAGCCAAAAUUGCACCUGGAACAUGGAUGCUAAUAAAAAACAAGGAUAUCCCCCAACAGAUUGGUGGUGUGGACUGUGGAGUCUUCAUGUUGAUGUAUGCUCUACAUCUUGCCUUGGGAGCACCCUUUGAUUUUACAUCUUGUGACAUGCCAAAGAUUCGGAGAUGGUGGACUCUAAUUCUUUUAGAGAACUUUGGGGUUUUCUCUGAAAGUGCAGAUACCCUUCAAGAGGCUCUUCCACACAGAGAACCAGCUGAGCUUAGCAGCAGUGAGGAGCUACCAGUAAUCCGAGACAUGGCAGAAGCUGUGAAAUGGAUUGAUUCCAAUAACCAUCUGCUCAGAGGGCCGGUGGAAGAGCCUCUUUUCCUCACCAUGACUGAGGAGGAAAAGGAAAAGGCCCUCAAUGAUCUCAGUGAAAGCACAGACUCUUCGAGGGAGCCCUUUACGUUUCUUUUUCAGUUCAGGGAUGACAUGGAAUUAGUUAUACAAGAAUGUCAUGACAAAAUGGGCCUAAAACUGAACUGUUCAUUUGAUACAUUUUAAUUUAAAUUAAUGCCAUAUGGUCAUGACAAUGUGUGAAUUGUUUGUUUUGUAAAUUGUCAUUUUCAUUUUAUACAAAAUUGUCAUGGCAAAUUGUUUAGCAAGUUUAUUCCAUAAACUUUAAUUAUCUAGUUUUUGAUUUGUUUCUUUUAAAAUUUUGUGUGUUUGAAGAUUUUUACAGCAAUGUUUUAAUUUUUUUGUAGUGAAAUGCAUGAUACACAUGUUCUUUGCUUUGAAGUAUAUUUUUUUAUGUUGUGAUUAAAGUAUAUUUCAUAUAAAAUGCCUUAAGUUUCAAUUAAUUUUUAUUAUCUCGAACUCGAGGAAAUAGCUCACGUAAUGCAAUUAAAUGAAUAAUUAUAUACAAUUAUAUUAAACAAUU